ACACACACACACAUGCACAUUUUGAAAAUUGGAGACAUAAUUUUGAAUUUGAUUUUUUUAAGUGUAUGCAGGCGGUCAUGGGCCAAUGUAAGUGUUUAAUUGCAACCCUCUGUUGUUCCGUGUGCAAAGCCACCCUUUUAAUGUGCUAUCAUUUAAUGCUAUCUGUUUCAUAGGAGAACUUCAAUGUGGAGUUAGCAAACAUUUACCUUAGACAUGGAUGCUGGCUUUAUGAUGUGGUGUUGGCAGUCUGACCUUCAGGACUUCAUUUCAGCACAGCAUUGUCUGGGGAGACUGGCUGGCCUGGGAGGGGCCUGUGCCAUUGCCUCUGGCCUUCUAAAGUUGUUUGCCAGGUCUGGUAAGAAGCAGAGAGUAACCCUUUCCAGCUCUGUCUUCCUGAGUUCACUGGGAAACUCAACGGAUCCUCCAGGAACCCGAGUCAGACUUACGGACUGGGUUUUCUAUAUAGGAUUUCCUGCUAAGCCGGUUCAGGGGAUUUCUGGUCUUUUUUCCUUGCUUCGGUCAUUUAUUAUGUUUUACUAACCCAUGUCCCUUAGACAAGAAUAGUAACCAUGCAUACUGUCGUGAGUUAGACUGAGUCCCUUUACCCCACCGGGCUACAGUGAACAUCAUGAAGCAGGACUGGGAAACUUGGAAUGAAACCCAAGUGAGCUUUGGGGUGUAAGAAAAAUCCCUAAAUCUGGAUUGAGUCUCAGAGCCCAGCCUUAAACAUUCUCUGGUGGCUUUGUCUCCCUAUCCCCGCCCAUUUCUUUCUUCUUAGGGUAGGGGUAUUUCAAUAACAGAACAUCAAAGUGGCACUGUGUUGAGGCCUACCACGCAGAUCUUACCUCAGUUUACAGCAAUGGCACCGUCACGCGGAAUGUCUUUGGGAAGGAAAGGGAGCUGUGUGUGGGAGGCAGGUACUGACACCGUCUUCAGAUCUUCCUUCCUAUAUCCCUGUCCAGGAAAUCUGGGUGGAUGAGCCAUGUGUGGUAACGUUUUUUUUUUAACCCUUUGGCCACCGUUCCCAGGGCAACUGCAUGGCGGCAGCAUCCUGCGCCCACUGAGGAGCAGGAAAGCCAGGAGUAGCUGUCAGUUUGUACUCAGGUACACAUCAGCUUCAUGUCUCCUAAAGGUGCUUAGAGGCUCAGGAACACUGUCUGUUUCAGUACAAAAAGUCGCUAGACAGUAUGGAGAGGAUUUCUAACAACAGGACUUUGCUAACUGUCUGUGGUUGAGCAUAGACAUUUUUCUACUUACUGUUGGAGAUACUCUGAAAAUAUAUUUUUUUUCCUGUGUUGGUUAAGUAUAGUACCUUUUGCAAAAAUUGCUUGGUGAUUAAAAUUAUUUUAGCAUCUUGGGUCAUAUUUUUAAUCCUUAACAGGUUAAGGGUCUAAGAAUGCUGCAAAUAGUUCAUUUAAA
rnacentral:lncRNA from 1 species